rnacentral:rRNA from 1 species
CGGGACGGGUGAGUAACGCGUGGGUAACCUGCCUCAUACAGGGGGAUAGCAGCUGGAAACGGCUGGUAAUACCGCAUAAGCGCACAGUACCACAUGGUACAGUGUGAAAAACUCCGGUGGUAUGAGAUGGACCCGCGUCUGAUUAGCUGGUUGGCGGGGUAACGGCCUACCAAGGCGACGAUCAGUAGCCGACCUGAGAGGGUGACCGGCCACAUUGGGACUGAGACACGGCCCAG